rnacentral:rRNA from 1 species
AGCUCCAAUAGCGUAUAUUAAAGUUGUUGCGGUUAAAAAGCUCGUAGUUCGAUUUCUGCUCAGGUAGACUGGUCCGCCCUCUGGGUGAGCAUCUGGCUUGGCCUGGGCAUUUUCUUGGUGACCGCAGCUGCCCUUGACUGUGUGGUGUGGAAUUCAGGACAUUUACUUUGAGGAAAUCAGAGUGUUUCAAGCAGGCAUCUGCCUUGAAUAACUUAGCAUGGAAUAAUACAUUGGGACUUUAGUUAUUUUUUGUUGGUUUUUAGAACUGAAGUAAUGAUGAAUAGGGAUAGUUGGGGGCAUUCGUAUUUAACUGUCAGAGGUGAAAUUCUUGGAUUUGUUAAAGAUGACCUACUGCGAAAGCAUUUGCCAAAGAUGUUUUCA